SGCCCCGCGCCCGGCCCGCCGCCCCCGCCCCCUGUUUGAUACCCACACUUUCGAGCAUCAGUGUCAGUUGCAGUCCAGUGAGCUGCCUUCGCAAUCGGAGUUCUUCGUGAUAUYUAAGCAUUUCACCGCUACACCACGAAUUCCGCCCACCUCUACUGUACUCAAGACUGACAGUAUCAACUGCAAUUUUACGGUUGAGCCGCAAACUUUCACAACUGACUUACCAGUCCACCUACGCUCC
rnacentral:rRNA from 1 species